rnacentral:rRNA from 1 species
GACGAACGCUGGCGGCGUGCCUAAUACAUGCAAGUUGAGCGCUGAAGGUUGGUACUUGUACCGACUGGAUGAGCAGCGAACGGGUGAGUAACGCGUGGGGAAUCUGCCUUUGAGCGGGGGACAACAUUUGGAAACGAAUGCUAAUACCGCAUAAAAACUUUAAACACAAGUUUUAAGUUUGAAAGAUGCAAUUGCAUCACUCAAAGAUGAUCCCGCGUUGUAUUAGCUAGUUGGUGAGGUAAAGGCUCACCAAGGCGAUGAUACAUAGCCGACCUGAGAGGGUGAUCGGCCACAUUGGGACUGAGACACGGCCCAAACUCCUACGGGAGGCAGCAGUAGGGAAUCUUCGGCAAUGGACGAAAGUCUGACCGAGCAACGCCGCGGGAGUCAAGAAGGGUGUCGGAUCGUAAAACUCGGUUGGUAGAGAAGAACGUUGGUGAGAGUGGAAAGCUCAUCAAGUGACGGUAACUACCCAGAAAGGGACGGCUAACUACGUG